rnacentral:rRNA from 1 species
AUUGAACGCUGGCGGCAUGCCUUACACAUGCAAGUCGAACGGUAACAGGUCUUCGGAUGCUGACGAGUGGCGAACGGGUGAGUAAUACAUCGGAACGUGCCUAGUAGUGGGGGAUAACUACUCGAAAGAGUGGCUAAUACCGCAUGAGAUCUACGGAUGAAAGCAGGGGAUCGCAAGACCUUGUGCUACUAGAGCGGCCGAUGGCAGAUUAGGUAGUUGGUGGGAUAAAAGCUUACCAAGCCGACGAUCUGUAGCUGGUCUGAGAGGACGAUCAGCCACACUGGGACUGAGACACGGCCCAGACUCCUACGGGAGGCAGCAGUGGGGAAUUUUGGACAAUGGGCGAAAGCCUGAUCCAGCAAUGCCGCGUGUAAGAUGAAGGCCUUCGGGUUGUAAACUGCUUUUGUACGGAACGAAAAGCCCCGGGUUAAUACCCUGGGGUCAUGACGGUACCGUAAGAAUAAGCACCGGCUAACUACGUGCCAGCCGCCGCGGUAA